rnacentral:rRNA from 1 species
CGGAGGAAAAGAAACUAACCAGGAUUCCCCUAGUAACGGCGGAGUGAAGCGGGAAAAGCUCAAAUUUGUAAUCUGAUACCUUCGGUAUCCGAGUUGUAAUCUCGAGAAGUAUUUUCCGCGCUGGACCGCACAUAAGUCUGUUGGAACACAGCGUCAUAGUGGUGAGAACCCCGUAUAUGGUGCGGAUGCCCAGUGCUUUGUGAUAUACUUUCGAAGAGUCGAGUUGUUUGGGAAUGCAGCUCAAAUUGGGUGGUAAAUUCCAUCUAAAGCUAAAUAUUGGCGAGAGACCGAUAGCGAACAAGUACCGUGAGGGAAAGAUGAAAAGCACUUUGGAAAGAGAGUUAACAGUACGUGAAAUUGUUGGAAGGGAAACGCUUGAAGUCAGACUUGCAUUUUGGAGUUCAACCGUUAAGGUGUAUUCUUCAAUUCGCAGGCCAGCAUCAGUUUUCGGGGGUGGAAAAUCGUGGUUAGAAGGUAGCAGUUUCGGCUGUGUUAUAGCUUUGCACUGGAUUCACUUUUGGGGACUGAGGAACGCAGUACGCUUUUUGCAAAACUUUCGAGUUUUUCGUACUUAGGAUGCUGGUGGAAUGGCUUUAAACGACCCGUCUUGAA